rnacentral:rRNA from 1 species
CAGCAGCCGCGGGAAAACGAAGGGUGCAAGCGUUACUCGGAAUUACUGGGCGUAAAGCGUGCGUAGGUGGUGGUUUAAGUCCGUUGUGAAAGCCCUGGGCUCAACCUGGGAAUUGCAGUGGAUACUGGAUCACUAGAGUGUGGUAGAGGAUAGUGGAAUUUCCGGUGUAGCAGUGAAAUGCGUAGAGAUCGGAAGGAACAUCUGUGGCGAAGGCGACUAUCUGGGCCAACACUGACACUGAGGCACGAAAGCGUGGGGAGCAAACAGGAUUAGAUACCCCCGUAGUCCCUGUCUCUUAUAC